AGAGUUUGAUCCUGGCUCAGGAUGAACGCUGGCGGCGUGCCUAAUACAUGCAAGUCGAGCGAAUGGAUUAAGAGCUUGCUCUUAUGAAGUUAGCGGCGGACGGGUGAGUAACACGUGGGUAACCUACCCAUAAGACUGGGAUAACUCCGGGAAACCGGGGCUAAUACCGGAUAAUAUUUUGAACUGCAUAGUUCGAAAUUGAAAGGCGGCUUCGGCUGUCACUUAUGGAUGGACCCGCGUCGCAUUAGCUAGUUGGUGAGGUAACGGCUCACCAAGGCGACGAUGCGUAGCCGACCUGAGAGGGUGAUCGGCCACACUGGGACUGAGACACGGCCCAGACUCCUACGGGAGGCAGCAGUAGGGAAUCUUCCGCAAUGGACGAAAGUCUGACGGAGCAACGCCGCGUGAGUGAUGAAGGCUUUCGGGUCGUAAAACUCUGUUGUUAGGGAAGAACAAGUGCUAGUUGAAUAAGCUGGCACCUUGACGGUAC
rnacentral:rRNA from 1 species